UACGAAGGGGGCUAGCGUUGCUCGGAAUCACUGGGCGUAAAGGGCGCGUAGGCGGCCGAUCAAGUCAGAGGUGAAAGCCCAAGGCUCAACCUUGGAAUUGCCUUUGAUACUGUUCGGCUAGAGACCGGAAGAGGUUAGUGGAACUGCGAGUGUAGAGGUGAAAUUCGUAGAUAUUCGCAAGAACACCAGUGGCGAAGGCGGCUAACUGGUCCGAUACUGACGCUGAGGCGCGAAAGCGUGGGGAGCAAACAGGG
rnacentral:rRNA from 1 species